UUUAAAUUUGACUUGAAAUGGAAAGGUAAUACAGAUAAACAGUUUUAGUGUAGAAAAGAGUUUUCUAAAAUGAAACCUGUUAGCAAAUGAGUCAUACAGGGUGUGUUUAAAAACAUUUCUGGUUUGGUUUUGAGUUCAACUAGGUUUUAUGUAGUAUUUAUUUUCAAAUUGUAGGUGAAGAAAGUGAUACCGAUACAGUUUCAGUAAGAAGAAAAUUUCAAGACAUUCACUUACAGAAUCUGUAUGUACGUGAUGGGAAAAUACAAGAGAAAGUAAAAGUGGAUGUGAUAGUUCAAGACAAUGUUAGAAAAAUUCCUGGAUGGAUUAUGAGAGAAUGUCAAGGUUCGUCCAAAGGUCUGCAUUUAGCUUCACCAGUGCAAGAACUGAUUGGUACAGCUAAAUCUUUUGGAGGCAACCAAGCUGCUGUUUGCAGAAGGAAAGUAGAAUUGUCAAAUGAAUGUUCUUCAUCCAGACCUCCACAGUUAGGAUUUUCUGAUGUUCCCAUAUCAACAAAGACAAUCACCAUACCCAGGCAUCAGACUUCCCCAGAACUGAAUAAAACUUGGUGUGAUAGUAUCUUGGAAGAAUACCAGUCUGCAGAUGAGGGAUGCUCCUGGAGCAAUGUAACUCUUGCAGACUUGUAUCCAGGGAUGUUAGAGUUACUUACAAGGCUCAUGACAAAGCAGACUUGGAGAAAAGAGUCAAAAUACAUGUUUGGACAAUUAAGGCACAGAAGACACCCUUCUGGAAGACCAAAGCUCAA